rnacentral:misc_RNA from 1 species
GAUGAAGAACGCAGCGAAAUGCGAUAAGUAAUGUGAAUUGCAGAAUUCAGUGAAUCAUCGAAUCUUUGAACGCACAUUGCGCCCAUUAGCAUUCUAGUGGGCAUGCCUGUUCGAGCGUCAUUUCAACCCUUAAGCCCUGUUGUUUAGCGUUGGGAGCCUACAGUACUGUAGCUCCCCAAAGUUAGUGGCGGAGUCGGUUUCACACUCUAGACGUAGUAAUUUUUUCUCGUCUGUAGUUGAGCCGGUCCCCUGCCGUAAAACACCCAAUUUAUCAAGGUUGACCUCGGAUCAGGUAGGAAUACCCGCUGAACUUAAGCAUAUCAAUAAGCGGAGGA